rnacentral:rRNA from 1 species
GGGGGGGGGGGGGGGGGGGGGGGGGGGGGGGGGGGGGGGCGGCAGGGCGGGGAAGGGGGCGGCGGGGGGGGCGGGGGGCGGACGGGUGAGGAAUAUAUCGGAACGUACCGAGUAAUGGGGGAGAACUAAUCGAAAGAGUAGCUAAUACCGCAUAUUCUCUGAGGAGGAAAGCAGGGGACCUUCGGGCCUUGCGUUAUUCGAGCGGCCGAGAUCUGAUUAGCUAGUUGGUGGGGUAAAGGCCUACCAAGGCGACGAUCAGUAGCGGGUCUGAGAGGAUGAUCCGCCACACUGGGACUGAGACACGGCCCAGACUCCUACGGGAGGCAGCAGUGGGGAAUUUUGUACAAUGGGCGCAAGCCUGAUCCAGCCAUGCCGCGUGUCUGAAGAAGGCCUUCGGGUUGUAAAGGACUUUUGUCAGGGAAGAAAAGGCUGUUGCUAAUAUCGACAGCUGAUGACGGUACCUGAAGAAUAAGCACCGGCUAACUACGUG